rnacentral:rRNA from 1 species
GAUGAACGCUGGCGGCGUGCUUAACACAUGCAAGUCGAACGAUGAAAGCGGGAGCUUGCUCCUGCUGGAUUAGUGGCGAACGGGUGAGUAACACGUGAGUAACCUGCCCUUGACUCUGGGAUAAGCGUUGGAAACGACGUCUAAUACCGGAUACGACCUUCGGAGGCAUCUCCUGGGGUGGAAAGAAUUCGGUCAAGGAUGGACUCGCGGCCUAUCAGCUAGUUGGUGAGGUAAUGGCUCACCAAGGCGACGACGGGUAGCCGGCCUGAGAGGGUGACCGGCCACACUGGGACUGAGACACGGCCCAGACUCCUACGGGAGGCAGCAGUGGGGAAUAUUGCACAAUGGGCGCAAGCCUGAUGCAGCAACGCCG